rnacentral:rRNA from 1 species
CCUACGGGAGGCAGCAGUAGGGAAUCUUCCACAAUGGGCGAAAGCCUGAUGGAGCAACGCCGCGUGAGUGAUGAAGGCCUUCGGGUUGUAAAACUCUGUCAUUCGGGACGAACCGGAGUCUGAGGAAAUGCAGACUCUCUGACGGUACCGGAGGAGGAAGCCCCGGCUAACUACGUGCCAGCAGCCGCGGUAAUACGUAGGGGGCAAGCGUUGUCCGGAUUCACUGGGCGUAAAGCGCGCGCAGGCGGUGAUGUAAGUCUGAGGUGAAAACCCGAAGCUCAACUUCGGGACUGCCUUGGAUACUGCGUCACUUGAGGAUAGGAGAGGCAAGGGGAAUUCCACGUGUAGCGGUGAAAUGCGUAGAGAUGUGGAGGAACACCUGUGGCGAAGGCGCCUUGCUGGCCUAUUUCUGACGCUGAGGCGCGAAAGCGUGGGGAGCAAACAGGAUUAGAUACCCUGGUAGUCCACGCUGUAAACGAUGAGUGCUAGGUNUAGGUGGGCUCAUACCCNUCUGUGCCGAAGCUAACGCAUUAAGCACNCCGCCGUCGGGAGGUACGGUCGGCGAACGACGUAGAAACGUACGAAAGGAAAGUUAGUACGGACGUUGGAGGACGUUGGCCGACGGACGACACGAGGGGAGGUUAGGG